rnacentral:lncRNA from 12 species
AUGUAUGGCAAAACAGAGGUAGAGGCCAAACACUGGGGCUCAAGACCUGAUUUUAAACGGGGGCUACCAGGUGCUUUUCUCAAGCUUCAGGGCAAUACGCGGAAUCCAGCUGGUCCGUUUCUUAACUUUGGGAUCGUUUUCUUUCUUUUGGCGAGGAAAGCAGAAGGCCACGGUGAAGGUAGCCCGAGGCGCGGCCAGGGAGAAGGCGGGGAGAGUACGGGCCCGCCGCGGCCCUGCAGCUCACGUCCUUGCAAGGGCUCCCCCGCCCCCGGUCGUGCCCCGGCGUCCCCGCGGGGCUGUGGGCUCCGGGACCCAGUGCCGGCGCCCCGCCCCCCCGGGCCAGCAGCGGUGCCGUUACUCCGGAGAGGCGGGCCAGGCGGGCCUUCACGGCGACCCGGCUCGACUGCGGAGGCCCCCGCACCCGAGACUUGGGGGACCUCCCCACGCACCCAGGCGCGCCCCGAGGCCUCCGCCGCUUACCCGAGUCCGCGACCGUCCGGGAGGCGAGGGCGCCCGGCUGCGGCCCGGGCCGCGCGGGUGCCCUCGGCUGGGGCAGGGCGGGCACGGGCCGUGGGGCGGAGGAGAGACGCGCGCGGCGGGCCCUGCCGGGGACAGGAAGGUGACCGGCGGCGAGGAACCGCUUCCGGGACUGCGGGCAGCAGCUACCUCGCGUCGGGGCAGGGGAGAGCCGUCUCUCCCCUCGCGAGACGUCAGGCCGCCGCCCGGGCCGCGAGCCCCCGACCCGCCUGGGGCGGCGCCGCCUCAGCACUAUGGCCCGGCGACAGGACCCCCAAAGGCUGGGGAGCAUAUUUCUGAAGGCGUGGUAUUUUUAAAAAUCACAUAAAACAAAAUUUUGAAGAAUGAGUCGCAAAACGGAGCGCACCUGUUUCCGCCCGGUUUCGAACCGGGGACCUUUCGCGUGUGAGGCGAACGUGAUAACCACUACACUACGGAAACCAGCCGCGAGGCUGCCUCGCUCGAAGGUAGUUGUCCCUGCGGAACACGCCCCGCGCUCGCUCUGCUCCGCUCCGCUCCGCUCCCGCCUUCCCCAAUCCCUGCAGCCGAGCUUCGUUCGCGGGUGCGUCGGUGCUUGCACGUUGAGCGCUCGCACCUGACAAGGCGGUAAGACGCGCACAUGGAGUCCUUCCAGAGUACAUGCCUGAGGCCAGAGCCUUAACAAUUCACGCUCAAAAUGGCCAGACGGAGGAAAACUAGAGAGACUACGAUCUUCACGCGUUUCGACCGGAACGGGCACGCCCCGGGACGGCGCGCACUCAGCGGCCGAGCCGCGGCAUCCGCUCUGCAGUGGCCUGGUGAUCCCCGCGGUGGUAAAAGCGGGGGCUUUCUCGCCGCGGAGAACUUGCAGGAGACUCCCUCUGCGCGAGGUCUGGAACCCUGCGUCCCUCGCCGCCGAGGCGUGGAGGGAAGAGUAAAACGGAAGCGCGCCCACCGAGCCAGCCAGGAGUCGAACCUGGAAUCUUCUGAUCCGUAGUCAGACGCGUUAUCCAUUGCGCCACUGGCCCCGCAUGCGGGAAGGGGGCGCCUGCAGGUCUUCGUGAGGACUCGGGUUCCGGCGGGGCCCGACGCCAGGCGUCCGCGCUCUGGUCGCGCUCCGGCCGCCGCGAGGAUGCUCCGGGGCAGCCACCUGCUCGCCGCCCGCAUUCCCUCUUCAUCCACGCGUUCGCGCCGCAGCCUGUGUCACCCACCGUUCAAGGCUCUGGAAGCGGAGCCUAGAAGAAAACAGGUGUGAUCCCUGCCCAUCGAGGAGAUUACAACCGUGAAUCACUAAAUAAGUAGAAUAAUUAUGAUAAGCACUUGGAGGAAAAUAAACCGGGAAGUCCAGGAAAGCCCA